rnacentral:lncRNA from 1 species
AGAAAGCAUAGAAGUGCAUAACUCCAUGAGGCAAAUGUCUCAGACAGAAGAUUAUGUAUCCUACCAUUUACAAGAAAAUGUAGCAAUACACAUUCUGAUACCCAAAAAAUUUCAUUACAGGAUUAGCUACUGAAUACCAACGUAAAGGUUCUCCUUCUUUCGUGCUAAUAUUCCUACGUUCCUUGCUCAAGUAAGCAGUGGUCAUCUAAUAAACACCUAAUGCACACACCCCAUACACCAUUCUUUCUCAGGCAUGGAAUUUUACUUGGCUAAAGUUAUGGGUCAUGAAUUCUCCUUGUCAUGCAUAAACAAUAUCUACAACUCGUCUAUUAACUCCUAAUACACACACGGUAUUUACCAUCCUUCAAUUCUUCUCAAACAUGGUAUUUCACUUGGCUAAAAUUAUGGGUCGUGAAUUCUCCUUGUCAUGCAUAUACAAUAUCUAAACUCAUCUAUAAACUCCUUUGGCCCAAGAGUAACCUACUGCUUUCUUAAGGUAAGAUGAAAAACUGGUCCUGAAAUGGUAGUAGUUAACUUCAUUUGCUAAAAGAUUGAAUACACCAAACCAAAUCUAGAACAGGAAACAGCUCAAUCGGUGAGCAUUUACAAAAAAAGACACAGCUCUAGGAAAAGACAUGCAUAUAGUAAUGAUAAGAUGAAAAACUGGUCCUGAAAUAGUAGUAGCUAACUUAAUUUGCUAAAAGAUUGAAUACACCAAACCAAAUCCGGAACAGGAAAAAGCUCAAUCGGUGAGCAUUAGCAAAAAAGACACAGCUCUAGCAAUAAAGACAUCAGCAUUAGCAAUCAGUGAAUUUUCCUACGUCAUGCAUAUACAGUAUCUAAACUCGUCUAUAAACUCCUUUGGCCCAAGAGUAACCUACUGCCCUUUUAAGUUAAGAUGAAAAACUGGCCCUGCAAUGUUAGUAGUUCACUUGCUAAAAGAUUCAAUACACCAAACCAAAUCCUGAACAGGAAACAGCUCAAUCGGUGAGCAUUAGCAAAAAAGACACGCUCCAGGAAAAGACAGAAAUAUCGAAGCUGACUCCAUCGGUGAGUAGGAAGCAGCUCAAUCGGCGAGCAGGAAAUGGAACGUGAUUAUCAAGAUAUAACGCUUAAAUUUUUUUUCUUUACCAAACACAUGCAUUUCAAAUUGUAAAUAGCCAAAAAGACAGAGAAUAUAGAAGUUGACUCCACGAAACAGAUCUGCACCCGACUAAAAAUUAUCCCUAAACGUAAAGAAACGAGAAACAUAUAUUUCAGUUNNNNNNNNNNNNNNNNNNNNNNNNNNNNNNNNNNAUUGACGGAAUCGGUGUCGGAAUUGGAUACGACUAGGGUUAGGGCUUUUGUUUGGGAUAGCUUUCUUUUCCCCCCCUUUUCUCAGCGCAGUCCCUGAUCCUCAGUCCCGAUUCUAUUGUCAGUGCUUUGUACACUGCCUGAGCGCGUGGAUAUGUUUCGAAGCGAGCAUACUUGGUUUGCGAAAUGUACAUAAAUACCAUAACGAACUCAGAACACUCAAACGUCGCCGUUCUAAAUCACGUUCACCGCUUGGACUUUUUUCUUUUUCAAAUUAAAACAUAAUUAAUAAACUAACUGGAUAAAAAAGAACAAUAAUCAGAGGAAUAUACCCUUUCAAAGAAAAUGCUUAAA